UGCUAAUUGCGUAAGCGAAGCACUCUGAUGGGACUGCCCGGGAAACCGGGAGGAAGGUGGGGACGACGUCAAGUCAUCAUGGUCCUUAUGUCUAGGGCUACACACGUGUUACAAUGGUCGGUACAAAGGGUUGCAAGCUCGCGAGAGUAAGCUAAUCCCGGAAAGCCGAUCUAAGUUCGGAUUGAGGUCUGCAACUCGACCUCAUGAAGUUGAAAUCGCUAGUAAUCGCGUAUCAGCAACGACGCGGUGAAUACGUUCUCGGGCCUUGUACACACCGCCCGUCACACCAUGAGAGCUGUUUGUACCCGGAGCUGUCUUAGCCAACCCGCAAGGGAGGCGGGCAUCUAAGGUAUGAGGAGUGAUUGGGGUG
rnacentral:rRNA from 1 species